GAUGAACGCUGGCGGCGUGCCUAAUACAUGCAAGUCGAGCGAACGGACGAGAAGCUUGCUUCUCUGAUGUUAGCGGCGGACGGGUGAGUAACACGUGGAUAACCUACCUAUAAGACUGGGAUAACUUCGGGAAACCGGAGCUAAUACCGGAUAAUAUUUUGAACCGCAUGGUUCAAAAGUGAAAGACGGUCUUGCUGUCACUUAUAGAUGGAUCCGCGCUGCAUUAGCUAGUUGGUAAGGUAACGGCUUAUCAAGGCAACGAUGCAUAGCCGACCUGAGAGGGUGAUCGGCCACACUGGAACGGAGACACGGUCCAGACUCCUACGGGAGGCAGCAGUGGGGAAUCUUCCGCAAUGGGCGAAAGCCUGACGGAGCAACGCCGCGUGAGUGAUGAAGGUCUUCGGAUCGUAAAACUCUGUUAUUAGGGAAGAACAUAUGUGUAAGUAACUGUGCACAUCGUGACGGUACCUAAUCAGAAAGCCACGGCUAACUACGUG
rnacentral:rRNA from 1 species